rnacentral:rRNA from 1 species
AUUGAACGCUGGCGGCAGGCCUAACACAUGCAAGUCGAACGGUAACAGGAAGCAGCUUGCUGCUUCGCUGACGAGUGGCGGACGGGUGAGUAAUGUCUGGGAAACUGCCCGAUGGAGGGGGAUAACUACUGGAAACGGUAGCUAAUACCGCAUAACGUCGCAAGACCAAAGAGGGGGACCUUCGGGCCUCUUGCCAUCGGAUGUGCCCAGAUGGGAUUAGCUUGUUGGUGAGGUAACGGCUCACCAAGGCGACGAUCCCUAGCUGGUCUGAGAGGAUGACCAGCCACACUGGAACUGAGACACGGUCCAGACUCCUACGGGAGGCAGCAGUGGGGAAUAUUGCACAAUGGGCGCAAGCCUGAUGCAGCCAUGCCGCGUGUAUGAAGAAGGCCUUCGGGUUGUAAAGUACUUUCAGCGGGGAGGAAGGUGUUGUGGUUAAUAUCCGCAGCAAUUGACGUUACCCGCAGAAGAAGCACCGGCUAACUCCGUGCCAGCAGCCGCCGCCG